rnacentral:rRNA from 1 species
CCUACGGGGUGCUGCAGUGGGGAAUAUUGGGCAAUGGGCGCAAGCCUGACCCAGCAACGCCGCGUGAAGGAAGAAGGCUUUCGGGUUGUAAACUUCUUUUCUCAGGGACGAAGCAAGUGACGGUACCUGAGGAAUAAGCCACGGCUAACUACGUGCCAGCAGCCGCGGUAAUACGUAGGUGGCAAGCGUUAUCCGGAUUUACUGGGUGUAAAGGGCGUGUAGGCGGGAAAGCAAGUCAGAUGUGAAAACCAUGGGCUCAACCUGUGGCCUGCAUUUGAAACUGUUUUUCUUGAGUACUGGGGAGGCAGACGGAAUUCCUGGUGUAGCGGUGAAAUGCGUAGAUAUUAGGAGGAACACCGGUGGCGAAGGCGGUCUGCUGGACAGCAACUGACGCUGAGGCGCGAAAGCGUGGGGAGCAAACAGGAUUAGAUACCCUAGUAGUC